GACGAACGCUGGCGGCGUGCCUAAUACAUGCAAGUAGAACGCAGUUGCGGACGGGUGAGUAACGCGUAGGUAACCUGCCGCAGAGCGGGGGUAAACUAUUGGAAAGGAUAGUUAAAACCGCAUAUUGUGAGAUGGACCUUUGGUGUAUUGGUUAGUUGGUGAGGGAAAGGCUCACCAAGGCGACGAUGAAUAGCCGGCCUGAGAGGGGGAACGGCCACACUUGGAAUGGGACAAGGCCCCGACUCCUACGGGAGGCAGCAGUAGGGAAUCUGCGGCAAAUGACGGAAGGCUUACCGAGCAACGCCGCGGGAUUUAAGAAGGUUUUCGGAUCGUAAAGCACUUUUGUUAGGGAAGCGGUAACUAACCAGAAAGGGACGGCUAACUACGUGCCAGCAGCCGCGGUAAUUC
rnacentral:rRNA from 1 species